GAUGAACGCUGGCGGCGUGCUUAACACAUGCAAGUCGAACGGUGAAGGCGGAGCUUGCGCUGAUGGAUCAGUGGAGAACGGGUGAGUCACACGUGAGCAAUCUGCCCCUGACUCUGGGAUAAGCGCUGGAAACGGCGUCUAAUACUGGAUACGAGCUGCGAAGGCAUCUUCAGCAGCUGGAAAGAAUUUCGGUCAGGGAUGAGCUCGCGGCCUAUCAGCUUGUUGGUGAGGUACUGGCUCACCAAGGCGUCGACGGGUAGCCGGCCUGAGAGGGUGACCGGCCACACUGGGACUGAGACACGGCACAGACUCCUACGGGAGGCAGCAGUGGGGAAUAUUGCACAGUGGGCGAAAGCCUGAUGCAGCAACGCCGCGUGAGGGACGACGGCCUUCGUGUUGUAAACCUCUUUUAGCAGGGAAGAAGCGAAAGUGACGGUACCUGCAGAAAAAGCGCCGGCUAACUACGUG
rnacentral:rRNA from 1 species